rnacentral:rRNA from 1 species
AUUGAACGCUGGCGGCAUGCUUUACACAUGCAAGUCGAGCGGCAGCGCGGGGGGUAACCCCUGGCGGCGAGCGGCGGACGGGUGAGUAAUGCAUCGGAACGUAUCCCGUAGUGGGGGACAACCCAGCGAAAGCUGGGCUAAUACCGCAUAUGCUCUACGGAGGAAAGUGGGGGACCUGAAAGGGCCUCACGCUAUGGGAGCGGCCGAUGUCCGAUUAGCUAGUUGGUGGGGUAAAGGCUACCAAGGCGACGAUCGGUAGCUGGUCUGAGAGGAUGAUCAGCCACACUGGGACUGAGACACGGCCCAGACUCCUACGGGAGGCAGCAGUGGGGAAUUUUGGACAAUGGGGCAACCCUGAUCCAGCAAUGCCGCGUGAGUGAAGAAGGCCUUAGGGUGUAAAGCUCUUUCGCCCGCGACGAUGAUGACGGUAGCGGGAGAAGAA